GCGAGAGUGGCGGAAUGGCAGACGCGCAUGUUUAAGGGACAUGUGGGAGACCGUACGGGUUCAAGUCCCGUCUUUCGCACCA
rnacentral:tRNA from 1 species